GACGUAGGAGGCGAGCGUUGUCCGGAUUCAUUGGGCGUAAAGAGCACGCAGGCGGUUUGGCAAGUCGGAUGUGAAAACCCGAAGCUCAACUUCGGGCCUGACAUCCGAACUGCCCGACUAGAGGUAGGUAGGGGAGAUCGGAAUUCCUGGUGUAGCGGUGAAAUGCGCAGAUAUCAGGAGGAACACCAAUGGCGAAGGCAGCUCGCUGGGACGGUACUGACGCUGAGACGCGAAAGCGUGGGGAGCAAACAGG
rnacentral:rRNA from 1 species